rnacentral:rRNA from 1 species
CCUACGGGGGGCAGCAGUGGGGAAUAUUGCACAAUGGGGGAAACCCUGAUGCAGCGACGCCGCGUGAGUGAAGAAGUAUCUCGGUACGUAAAGCUCUAUCAGCAGGGAAGAAAAUGACGGUACCUGACUAAGAAGCCCCGGCUAACUACGUGCCAGCAGCCGCGGUAAUACGUAGGGGGCAAGCGUUAUCCGGAUUUACUGGGUUUAAAGGGAGCGUAGACGGCAGCACGAGCCUGGAGUGAAAUACCGGGGCUUAACCCCGGAACUGCUUUGGAAACUGUGCGGCUGGAGUGCGGGAGGGGUAAGCGGAAGUCGUAGUGUAGCGGUGAAAUGCGUAGAUAUUAGGAGGAAGACCGGUGGCGAAGGCGGCUUACUGGACUGUAACUGACGUUGAGGCUCGAAAGCGUGGGGAGCAAACAGGAUUAGAUACCCUAGUAGUC